GAGUGGGAAUGGGACGGGGAAUGGGAAUGGGGACAGGGAGUGGGAAUGGGGACAGGAUGGCGUUGGAAGUGGAGUAGCCCUACAGCUGGGAGCCCUUCUGGGCUGGGAGAUGGAGCAGGAGAGAGGGGAAAAUGGGCAGUGACUUCCUUCAAACCUGGCUGGGCCAGGCCAUCUUCCCCUUUUUCACAGUCCCCUCCUCCAUUGAGCCAAGGUUUGGGAAAUGGAAUUCCUGUUCUGGGGGAAAAACAAGGUGCGGGUGUGUUGCCUUGGGUGUUUCUCCUGCCCAGUUCCAUCUCUUGAAGUCACCAGGCAUCUGGUGUCCAUAAAAACCUCCAGACCACCAAGAUUCAGGCAUUCUCAAAAACCACCAAGUUUCACCAAACAACCAUCCACCCAGGAGUUCUCCCUCCCUCUCUGGUCUCUCCACUUUGGUGGUCAGGGGCUCCCUCCUGUCUUUUGCAGCUCCAGUGUGUAUUGGUAUCCCCUCUCUCUGCACUGCUGGGGCUCCUGGCAAUCCCAGAGUUUCCCCUUCUUUGGACUCCCCAGGCUGCAGAGGGUCCCCAAGCUCUGGUACCACCCUUCUCUGCUCUCCCAACCCUCACCCCUUCCAGGCGAUGGGCACAUGGCUCUGGGCUGACAAUGAAGCACCUGACCUGAGCAGCCCAACCACCACCAUGGGAGGGUCCCACACAUCCCCUGGCCCAGCGCUGAGGCUCUGCCAGUAGCCAACACCAGGACCUCCCAAAAUCCUGCCGCCUUGGAGCUGCUGAGCAGGUGUCUGACUUGUGGGAGCUUGUCCUGGAGCAGACAGGCCAGGAACUGGCCCUAGAGCCACCCAGCAGACAUGGAACAUCAAGCUUCAAGAGAUAAGAAGCCACAACUGAUGACAUCCAGGCAGCUUAUGGCACUGAGCAAGGGACUCUGGGACCAAUUGGGAGUGGCUGUGCAGAUCAGGAUGGUGUAACAGCCCAUGACUGGCCAGAAGGCUUCUGGAACAUUCUAUGGGAGACUAUAUAUGUAUGUGUUGGCCCCACUUCGGGGUCAUCUGAAGCAGCCUUUUAUAUUUUGUUUGGCACGCUUAUUUGUGUCUUUUUAUUUAUUCAAUAAACUUCUCCAGUUUUGGCA